rnacentral:rRNA from 1 species
GGAAUAUUGGACAAUGGAGGAGACUCUGAUCCAGCCAUGCCGCGUGCAGGAAGAAUGCCCUAUGGGUAGUAAACUGCUUUUAUACGGGAAGAAAAAGGGGCACGUGUGCCCUGUUGACGGUACCGUAAGAAUAAGGACCGGCUAACCCCGUGCCAGCAGCCGCGGUAAUACGGAGGGUCCGAGCGUUAUCCGGAAUUAUUGGGUUUAAAGGGUCCGUAGGCGGGCCGGUAAGUCAGGGGUGAAAGUCUGUAGCUCAACUAUAGAAUUGCCUUUGAUACUGCUGGUCUUGAGUUAUGGUGAAGUUGCCGGAAUAUGUAGUGUAGCGGUGAAAUGCAUAGAUAUUACACAGAAUACCGAUUGCGAAGGCAGAUCACUAACAAUAUAUUGACGCUGAUGGACGAAAGCGUGGGGAGCG